GAAAGUAAGCAAGGGCAGACGGUGGAUGCCUUGGCUCUCGGAGGCGACGAAGGACGUGAUAAGCUGCGAAAAGCCCGGGGGAGGCGCAAAUAGCCGUUGAUCCCGGGAUAUCCGAAUGGGGCAACCCGGCAGGCUGAAGGCCUGCCAUCCCGUAAGGGAGGCGAACGUGGGGAACUGAAACAUCUAAGUACCCAUAGGAGGAGAAAAUAAACAAUGAUUCCGUAAGUAGUGGCGAGCGAACACGGAAGAGCCCAAACCCAUGUCGUCUAGGCGACACGGGGGUUGUAGGACCACGACGUGGCAAGAUAGAGUCAAGUGGAACGCCUUGGAAAAGGCGGUCAUAGAGGGUGAAAACCCCGUACACGACUGACGAUUGAAGCCUAGUGGCAUCCUGAGUAGCGCGGGGCACGAGAAAUCUUGCGUGAAACAGCGGGGCCCAUCCCGUAAGGCUAAAUACUCCCGAGAGACCGAUAGCGAACCAGUACCGUGAGGGAAAGGUGAAAAGAACCCCGAGCAGGGGAGUGAAAUAGACCCUGAACCCGUCUGCCUACAAGCGGUCGGAGCAUCGCAAGAUGUGACGGCGUGCCUUUUGCAUAAUGAACCUACGAGUUACCUUCCCCGGCAAGGUUAAGUACCUAAGGUACGGAGCCGAAGCGAAAGCGAGUCUGAAGAGGGCGGCCAGUCGGGGGGGGUAGACGCGAAACCGAGUGAUCUACCCUUGGCCAGGUUGAAGGUUGGGUAACACCAACUGGAGGACCGGAUGGGUAAGCGUUGAAAAGCUUUCCAAUGAGCUGAGGGUAGGGGUGAAAGGCUAAUCAAACUCGGAGAUAGCUCGUACUCCCCGAAAUGCAUUUAGGUGCAGCCUCUUUAUAGUAUAUCGUGAGGUAGAGCGACUGAUUGGAUGCGAGGGCUUCACCGCCUAUCAAGUCCAGAUAAACUCCGAAUGCGCGAUAUAUAUUUACAGGGAGUGAGGGCGCGGGUGCUAAGGUCCGUGUCCGAGAGGAGAAGAAUCCAGACCAUCGGCUAAGGCCCCCAAAUGAUCGUUGAGUUGAACUAACGAGGUCGGAUCGCAGAGACAGCUAGGAUGUUGGCUUGGAAGCAGCCAUUCAUUUAAAGAGUGCGUAACAGCUCACUAGUCGAGCGAUCUGGCGUGGAUAAUAAUCGGGCAUAAACGAUCUGCCGAAGCCGUGGAUGUCGUAAGACAUGGUAGGGGAGCAUUCCAUGGGCGUCGAAGAUAAGGGAUGACCCUUGUUGGAGCGCAUGGAAAAGCAAAUGUAGGUAUGAGUAACGAUAAGGGGGGCGAGAAACCCCCCCGCCGAAAGACCAAGGUUUCCUGAUCAACGCUAAUCGGAUCAGGGUGAGUCGGGACCUAAGGCUAAGCCGAACGGCGACGCCGAUGGAAGAAUGGGUUAAUAUUCCCAUACUGCCUCAUGGAGUGACGUGGAGACGGAGAAGUGACAGUCCUGCCGGCUGACGGAAUAGCCGGUUGAAGGGUGUAGAUAUUGAUUCCCGUAGGCAAAUCCGCGGGGAGAGUCGAACCUGACAGUAUACCGAGUACUUGUACGAGGUAAUAUGGACGUAACCAUGCUCCCAAGAAAAUCCGCUAAACUUAUCCAUGCGGCACCCGUACCGUAAACGGACACACGUGGUCGGGUUGAGAAUACUGAGGCGCUCGAGUGACUCACGGUUAAGGAACUAGGCAAAUUGACCCUGUAACUUCGGGAUAAAGGGUCCUCGUCGUAAGGCGAGGCGCAGAGAAUAGGUCCAGGCAACUGUUUAACAAAAACACAUGGCUGUGCUAAAUGGAAACAUGACGUAUACAGCCUGACACCUGCCCGGUGCUGGAAGGUUAAGAGGAGAUGUCAUCGCAAGAGAAGCGUUGAAUUGAAGCCCCAGUAAACGGCGGCCGUAACUAUAACGGUCCUAAGGUAGCGAAAUUCCUUGUC
rnacentral:rRNA from 1 species